AUCUAGAUCAUCUCCCGCCAUAGUGCUUCGUUCUGCACAUUGUUAUGAUUGUGAUGAACUAAGUACGACCAGAGCUGAUCAUGUCAAGUUUACACGUUGAUAAAGAAGCAUUUUUCAGGAGAAUCAAGCGCUUAUAUCAAGCAUGGAGCAAAUCAUCUGGAGAUGCUCUGGGUCAGAUGGACGCUUUGGUUACGUCGGUUGGAAUCGACGAAGAAGUUGUUUAUUCCAAGUCUACAGCCCUGCAGACCUGGCUGUUUGGGUACGAGUUGACGGACACGGUGAUGGUCUUCUGUGAGAAGAGCAUCUCUGUUCUAGCCAGCAAAAAGAAGAUUGACUUUCUGAAGCAGUUAGAGGCAUCCAAAGAAAACGACCAACCACAGAUCAAGCUGUUGACUCGUAACAAGGGGGAUAAAGACAAAGAAAAUUUCCAGAAGCUGAUAAGUGAAAUUAAAUCAAGCAAAAAGGGUAAGACCAUCGGAGAAUUCAGUAAAGACAAGUUCCCCGGCGAGUUCAUGGAGAGCUGGAGAUCAGCUUUAGGAGCAGCUUCAUUCCAGAAGGUAGAUGUUAGCUCCACCAUGGCCUACAUAAUGGCUCCAAAGGAAGAAUCGGAAAUCAAAACAAUGCAGAAAGCUUCAGCAGUCACCUGUGAAGUGUUCUCCAAAUACCUCCGGGAACAAAUCAUGGAGAUUAUUGAUGCUGAAAAGAAAGUGAAACACUCGAAGCUGGCAGAUGGAGUGGAGCAGGCCCUACAGAACAAGAAGAUAGUGGGUGGAGUGGAUGUUGGACAGCUGGACAUGUGUUACCCAGCCAUCGUACAGAGUGGGGGCAAAUACAGCCUCAAAUUCUCCACUGUCAGUGACGACUCGAACCUCGACUUUGGGACCAUUAUAUGUGCCCUCGGAGUAAGAUAUAAGUCUUAUUGCGCCAACAUCGUUAGAACGUUAAUGGUGGACCCUUCUGAGAAACAGCAGAAAGAUUAUGACUUUCUCUUAAAAGUGGAAGAAGAAAUCCUGAACAAGCUCCAGGAUGGGACCAAGCUGAGCGAGGUGUACGAGGGCAUCGUCUCCUUUGUGAAGAAGCAGCGCUCAGACCUGGAGAGUAAGAUGACCAAGUCCUUCGGGUUUGCCAUGGGCAUUGAGUUCAGGGAGGGGUCCUUAUUGAUCUCAGCAAAGACAACAGCUAAAGCCAAGAAAGGAAUGACUUUCAACAUCAAUGUGGGAUUUGGAGAUCUAGUGAAUGAUGGAAAGAAAUACGCUCUUUUCCUGGGGGACACAGUCCUAGUCAAUGAGGGUUCCCCAGCCUCCUUGCUGACGACCAAACAGAAAAAGAUCAAGCAUGUCUGUAUCUUCCUGAAGGACCCUGACGAAGUGGAAGAGGAGGAGGAGAAGGAAGAGGAGCCAGUUCUCCUCGGGCGAGGAGCGAGGAAUGCGGUUCUCGACAGCCGGACCAGGGUAAGAUAGCUGCAUGCAGUAUUGAGAGAUUCUGAUGAGGGUUAUGUACUCUGUUCUAGGAUACAUGUUUCUCCUUUUUACUUCAAUGUGAAAGUUUAUUCUGCUUGUAUAUCCUCAUAACAAAUUUUUCAUACAGAAGGAUUCUAGAGACAGAAAUUUUGUUUAUUGUGCAAAAUUGUAAAUAAAAUCUGAGGAGAAAUAAGAGUUAUCUCUCUUGUGCCUUUAUGGUGUUGUCACGCUUAAACUUUUGUACCCUUUAGUAUGUUCAUUUUAAUGAAUUUUAGACUGAAAUGACAGCAGAAGAGAAGCGACAUGAACAUCAGAAAGAAUUGGCCACCAAAAUUAAUGAAGAUGCACGAGAGAGAUUGAAAGGACUCAAAGGAGAUAAUGAAGAAAAGAAAGUAAGAAAGUCAGUUGUGUCAUAUUCAAACUCAUCAAAGAUGCCCCAGGAACAGGAGAUUCGUAACUUACAGUUGUAUGUGGACAGAAAAUAUGAGACAGUUAUUCUACCAAUAUUUGGAACACCAGCACCUUUUCACAUUGCAACUAUAAAGAACAUCAGCCAGUCCGUUGAAGGUGACUACACGUAUCUCAGAAUCAACUUCUUCCACCCGGGCUCCUCUCUGGGCAGGAACGAGGGCACCAGCUUCCCUCAACCAGAUGCCACAUUUGUCAAGGAAAUAACCUACAGAAGUUCUAACACCAAGGAACCUGGUGAGAUUUCGGCCCCUUCCUCCAAUCUGAACACGGCAUACAGACUGAUCAAAGAAGUACAGAAAAAGUUUAAGACACGCGAGGCAGAGGAAAGAGAGAAGGAGGGCAUUGUGAAACAAGACACCCUGAUUAUCAAUCCCAACAGAGGAAACCCCAAGCUGAAAGAUCUCUACAUCAGACCAAACAUUGUAUCCAAGAGGAUUUCAGGGACCCUUGAAGCCCACACAAAUGGUUUCCGCUUCACCUCCAUCCGUGGAGACAAGGUGGACAUUCUGUACAACAACAUCAAGAACGCCUUCUUCCAGCCGUGUGACGGAGAGAUGGUCAUUCUGCUCCACUUUCACCUCAAGCAUGCCAUUUUGUUUGGGAAGAAGAAACAUGUAGACGUCCAGUUCUACACAGAAGUGGGAGAGGUGACCACGGAUCUCGGCAAACACCAGCACAUGCAUGACAGAGACGACCUGCAUGCUGAACAGGCUGAAAGAGAACUGCGACAAAAACUGAAAGCUGCCUUCAAAGGAUUCUGUGAGAAGGUUGAGGCCAUCACCAAGGGAGAGGUGGAGUUUGACUCGCCCUUCAGAGAGCUGGGAUUCUACGGGGCCCCGUUCAGAAGUACGGUGUUGCUGCAGCCCACCAGUGGCUGUGUGGUCCACCUCACAGAAUGGCCCCCGUUUGUGGUGUCUCUGGACGAGGUAGAACUGAUCCACUUUGAGCGUGUACAGUUCCAUCUGAAGAACUUUGACAUGGUGUUUGUAUACAAAGACUACAGCAAAAAAACAGCUAUGAUCAACUCCAUACCAAUGAACAUGUUGGACCAUGUUAAAGACUGGCUCAAUUCCUGUGAAGUACAUUACACUGAGGGAAUUCAGAGCUUGAACUGGGCCAAAAUUAUGAAGACAAUUACUGACGACCCAGAGGGCUUUUUUGACAAUGGAGGAUGGUCAUUCUUGGAGCCGGAGAGUGCUGAUGAGGGCGAAGAUGACGAUGAUGAUGAAGAUGAUGAGGCGUACACUCCCACUGACAUUGACAGUGAGGAGGGAGACUCGAGUGAGGAUUACAGCGAGGAGAGUGAUUGGUCAGGAGAGGCUGAGGACUCCUCAGAGGAAGAGCUGGGGUCCAGUGAGGAAAGUGGAAAAGAUUGGGAUGAACUGGAGGAGGAAGCUCGGCGAGCUGAUGCUGAGACCCUCUAUGAUGAAAUGGAGGGGAGUAAACACAAGCCCCCGGCUCCCUCGUCCUCCUCACGCCACAAGCACCACUCCUCAUCCUCCUCAUCGAGGCACAAGUCCUCACACAAGUCACCUCAUAAAUCGCCUCACAAGUCAUCACACAAGUCGUCCCAUAAGUCGCCUCACAAGUCGGACCACAAACGGAAGAGGGAAGACAGCGGAGACCGACACAAGGAAAAGAAGAGGAAGAGGUAAAGUUGGCCGGAGAGGACCAUGGGAGGGAGUAGAUAUGCUACAGAUUACACAGAUAGUGCUGAAGGGAUUUUUCAUGGUGUUAUUGUUGUGUUUCUUGGAGAACAAACACUUUCUUUAUUGUGUCAUCUAUGUGUCAAGAAAACAAAAUACUGUUUUGUAUAAUGCAAGACUAAAGAGUUAAACAUAACAUGAGAAAUGUUUAUUUACUUUUAUUAUCAAUGUAUGUGUUAAUUGUACACUGUACCCAAUUGUGUAAAAAUACAGUUGUAUAGUGAGCUGAAACUACAAGUACAUGUUUAAUUGUGAAUAAAUGAGUUUUAGUUUGA
rnacentral:misc_RNA from 1 species